rnacentral:misc_RNA from 1 species
GAUGAAGAACGCAGUGAAAUGCGAUAAGUAGUGUGAAUUGCAGAAUUCAGUGAAUCAUCGAAUCUUUGAACGCACAUUGCGCCCCAUGGUAUUCCGUGGGGCAUGCCUGUUCGAGCGUCAUUUACCCCCUCAAGCUCCGCUUGGUGUUGGGCGUCUGUCCCGCUUCGCGCGCGGACUCGCCCCAAAGGUAUUGGCAGCGGUCGUGCCAGCUUCCCGCGCAGCACAUUGCGCUUCUCGAGGCACCGGUGGGCCCGCGUCCAUCAAGCUCACCCCCCCAGUUUGACCUCGGAUCAGGUAGGGAUACCCGCUGAACUUAAGCAUAUCAAUAAGCGGAGGA